rnacentral:rRNA from 1 species
GAUGAACGCUGGCGGCGUGCCUAAUACAUGCAAGUCGAGCGAACAGACGAGGAGCUUGCUCCUCUGACGUUAGCGGCGGACGGGUGUGUAACACGUGGAUAACCUACCUAUAAGACUGGGAUAACUUCGGGAAUCCGGAGCUAAUACCGGAUAAUCUAUUGAACCGCAUGGUUCAAUAGUGAAAGACGGUUUUGCUGUCACUUAUAGAUGCAUCUGCGCCGCAUUAGCUAGUUGGUAAGGUAACGGCUUACCAAGGCAACGAUGCGUAGCCGACGUGAGAGAGUGAUCGGCGACAUGGGAACGGGAACGCGGUCCAGAGGCCUAAGGGAGGGAGCAGAAGGCAAUGUGCGGCAGUAGGCGGAAGCCUUACGGAGCGAGGGCACGUGAGAGAUAAAGGUCUUCGGAGCGUAAAGCUCUGUUAUUAGGGAAGAACAAAUGUGUAAGGAAAUAUGCACGUCUUGACGGUAACUGGUAAGAAAGCAACGGCUAACUACGUG